rnacentral:lncRNA from 1 species
CAAAGCAUGUUGCAUGUGUAAGUAUGUAUCUUCAGCUGUUUUCAUGCACUGUGUUAUUCCAGAUCGCAUUAGACAGCUUGACCUGGGAGCAGAAACAGCAUGUAGUCUUCGAAUUUCUAGUGAAAGAACGUUCAGAGCUAUAGACACUUGUCUAUUGCCAUGCGUGUUUGGAGAAUAGCCUGAAGCAUAUUCAUCAGUGACCUUUAAUGAAGGUUGUGAGCUUACUCGGCCCACACAAGUGACCAUGAAUAGGACUGCGUGUAAUGAAGGUUAUUGGGUAUUUGGCACCAAAAGAAUAUUCUAUAUUAAAGAGAGGAGGAAGGACCGUUGGCUGAAGAUGUGAAGUGCACGAGUCGUGCAUCCGUGAAUGGAGACUAGUUUCAUAUUUUCUAUUCAAAAUCAGUUAAUUUUCUCUAAUCAUUUUUUGGGGUUUGAAGCUUCAGGAGACUUUUUGCAAGGAUUUUAGUGUUGUAUGCAGUUAUAUCCGCGGAUUAUACACAGAUUUCUUAAUUCCUUCUGGGCUGUUUUAAUUAGGGGUGCAGGUUAUAUGUGGAGAAAUGCGGUAUUUUAAUGGAAACACGCAUAUUGAAGUCCUGUGGUAGACGUCAUUUCUGUCACACUGCUUGAUUACUUGGAGGUGGACACUACUUGCAAUACAAUUUGUAGAAUUUUUAGCUAAUUAACAAAUUCACUUAGCAAUUAAAUCAGUCAAGGACACGUGUCCAUUUGUGGAAUUGAAGCUGGGCAGUAUUGAAGUAAUAUUCAUUUGACAGAAAUCAAGUGCUUAGCCAGCACCCGUUUUGAGAAAUGCCUUCAAAAUAAAAUUUGUUGCGAAAUACACUGGCAUUCCAGUUAACACUUACCAGCGCUGUGGAAAAUGGGGUAGCAAGUGUUUACUCAAACAUAUUUGCACUGUUUCAUUGAUUACAGCCAAAACACACAAGGCCCUUAAGUUGACCUGAUGUGAUAUUGGCAACUUCUCCGUGACGACAUUAAAGAAAUGCUGUAGUUUUAUUGGCUUUAUUACCAGUUGGGUUUUCCCUUUACAAGUGGAUCUGACUGUGGUCAAGUCUGUUAAAUAUUUCACUGGGUUUGCUGCCUUUCAUUGUUAUCUAUUUAGUAACGAACGGCAUGUGUGGCGUGCUGCUGUUUAGA